GACGAACGCUGGCGGCGUGCCUAACACAUGCAAGUCGAGCGAGUGAAUCUCCUUCGGGAGUGAAGCUAGCGGCGGACGGGUGAGUAACACGUGGGCAACCUGCCUCAUAGAGGGGAAUAGCCUUUCGAAAGGAAGAUUAAUACCGCAUAAGAUUGUAGCUUCGCAUGAAGUAGCAACUAAAGGAGCAAUCCGCUAUGAGAUGGGCCCGCGGCGCAUUAGCUAGUUGGUGAGGUAACGGCUCACCAAGGCGACGAUGCGUAGCCGACCUGAGAGGGUGAUCGGCCACAUUGGGACUGAGACACGGCCCAGACUCCUACGGGAGGCAGCAGUGGGGAAUAUUGCACAAUGGGGGAAACCCUGAUGCAGCAACGCCGCGUGAGUGAUGACGGCCUCCGGGUUGUAAAGCUCUGUCUUCAGGGACGAUAAUGACGGUACCUGAGGAGGAAGCCACGGCUAACUACGUGCCAGCCGCCGCGGUAA
rnacentral:rRNA from 1 species